GAGAGAAGAAAUUAAAUCUUGUGAGGAGCGUGUGAAGAAGUUGCUUGAGGUGACACCGCCAAGAGGGAAAGAAUUUCUUCAGAAGAUUGAGCAUAUAUUAGAACGUGAAAAUAAUUGGGUGUGGUGGAAACGUGAUGGCUGCCCUCCUUUUGAAAAGCAACCAAUUGAAAAGAAAACCACCCAUGAUGCAA